AUUGAACGCUGGCGGAAUGCUUUACACAUGCAAGUCGAACGGUAGAGGGGGCAACCCCUUGAGAGUGGCGAACGGGUGAGUAAUGUAUCGGAACGUGCCCAGUCGUGGGGGAUAACGUAGUGAAAAUUACGCUAAUACCGCAUACGAUCUAUGGAUGAAAGCGGGGGAUCGAAAGACAUCGCGCGAUUGGAGCGGCCGAUAUCAGAUUAGGUAGUUGGUGGGGUAAAGGCUCACCAAGCAAACGAUCUGUAGCUGGUCUGAGAGGACGACCAGCCACACUGGAACUGAGACACGGUCCAGACUCCUAUGGGAGGCAGCAGUGGGGAAUUUUGGACAAUGGACGCAAGUCUGAUCCAGCCAUUCCGCGUGCAGGACGAAGGCCUUCGGGUUGUAAACUGCUUUUGUACGGAACGAAAAAGCUCUUAUUAAUACUAGGAGUCCAUGACGGUACCGUAAGAAUAAGCACCGGCUAACUACGUGCCAGCCGCCGCAGUAA
rnacentral:rRNA from 1 species